GAUUAACGCUGGCGGCGUGCAUAACACAUGCAAGUCGAACGAUGAAACUUAACUGAUUUCUUCGGAAUGAUUUUAAGUGGAUUAGUGGCGGCCGGGUGAGUAACGCGUGAGUAACCUGCCUUGGAGAAGGGGAUAGCCUUUGGAAACGAAGAAUAAUACCCUAUGAUAUGAUAAUAUCUCAUGAUAUUAUCAUCAAAGAUUUAUCGCUCUAAGAUGGACUUGCGUCUGAUUAGUUAGUUGGUGAGGUAACAGCUCACCAAGGCAGCGAUCAGUAGCCGGCUUGAGAGAGUGUACGGCCACAUUGGGACUGAGACACGGCCCAGACUCCUACGGGAGGCAGCAGUGGGGAAUUUUGCACAAUGGGGGAAACCCUGAUGCAGCGACGCCGCGUGAUUUAGAAGGCCUUCGGGUUGUAAAAAUCUUUUGUAUGGGAAGAAAAUGACAGUACCAUACGAAUAAGGACCGGCUAAUUACGUG
rnacentral:rRNA from 1 species